rnacentral:rRNA from 1 species
CUGCCAGACCCUACUGCUGUCGGGAUGGGACUAAGCCAUGCGAGUUGUGCGCCUCUUAGCCACGGUUGAGGCGCAGCAUACGGCUCAGUAACACGUGGCUAACCUGCCCUUGGGACCGGAAUACCCCCGGGAAACUGGGGCUAAUUCUCGAUAGGUGAAGAACUCUGGAAUGAGUCUUUGCCAAAAAGACGUUUACGUUAUGCUCGUAGGCGUUGCCCAAGGAUGAGGCCGCGACCGAUCAGGUUGUUGGUGAGGUAAUGGCUCACCAAGCCUUCUACCGGUGCGGGCCGUGAGAGCGGGAGCCCGGAGAUGGGCACUGAGACAAGGGCCCAGGCCCUACGGGGCGCAGCAGUCGCGAAAACUUUGCAAUACACGAAAGUGUGACAGGGCUAUCCCGGGUGCCAUCCGCUGAGGAAGGCUUUUACCCAGUCUAGAACGCUGGGGGAAUAAGGAGAGGGCAAGUCUGGUGUCAGCCGCCGCGGUAAUACCAGCUCUCCGAGUGGUGUGGAUGUUUAUUGGGCCUAAAGCAUCCGUAGCUGGCUAGGUUAGUCCCCUGUUAAAUCCACCGAAUUAAUCGUUGGAUUGCGGGGGACACUACUUGGCUAGGGGACGAGAGAGGCAGACGGUAUUUCCGGGGUAGGGGUGAAAUCCUAUAAUCCCGGGAAGACCACCAGUGGCGAAGGCUGUCUGCUAGAACGCGCCCGACGGUGAGUGAUGAAAGCUGGGGGAGCGAACCGGAUUAGAUACCCGGGUAGUCCCAGCUGUAAACGAUGCAGACUAGGUGUUUGGACGGCCACGUGCCGUUCUAGUGCCGCAGGGAAGCUGUUAAGUCUGCCUCCUGGGGGAGUACGAUCGCAAGAUUGAAACUUAAAGGAAUUGGCGGGGGAGCACCACAAGGGGUGAAGCUUGCGGUUUAAUUGGAUUCAACGCCGGA